CUCAAUCAAUGGACUAAUCUCUACGUUUCUGCUCAGGCGUGUGACAUCACCUGAAAUGUGCUGUGCUGCAGGUGUGGGCUCACCUGGGUUUUGGGGGUUUGGCUCCAGCACUUCAACCACCUUAGUCCACAAUCUGGGAACCGGUUCUGCUUCCUCACACCGUCACAUUUCGUUGUGAGCCCCCCGGCUGACGGUCUCCCGCCGUCUUUUCUGUUCGUUAGGAACCUUCUGCACCUUCAAGCGGAGAUGUCGAGUUCGUGAGAAGCAAAGGAUCAAAAAGAUGUGCGUGUCUGUGUGCUGCUUUUAGAUCCGUCUUCAUUCCUUCCCUGUCUUUCACCAUGUGGGGGGCUGGUUGGAGGUGACGCGGGAGGCCCACAUGCGGAGCGGCGUCGCAUCUCGGGCGCCGCUCCCGAGUUCCCUCCAAAGUUCACGGAACUCUUUCUUCUCUCUGACGAAUGUUCAGCGCCUUCGGAUCCGAUCGGCUUUCAUCACGGAGGAGGACGAGUGUAGUUGUGUGUGUCUGUCUGCGUGAAAUAUACGUGUGUGUGUGUAUAUUAAGAAUAUCUGUGCUGCAGCUUUUCGUCCCCCGCAGGUCACUUUUAUAUUUGUGUGAAUCUCUUCAAUGCGAAACAUACAAAGGAUUCUUCCUUUCACAGUCACAUGGCGAGCCCCACGUAGCGCUUAGCACGUAGCGCUUAGCACGUAGCGCUUAGCCCCUCUGGAUCUAUCAUUCUUUGGGCCGCUGGUUCUGUUAUUUUAAGCCUAGAUUUGUGUCCCUCGCAGAGAGUUUCACAGCGGAGGAUUAAGCUUCACCCCCGACUAAACUCAGUUUACCCCCCCAACAGAAAACCCAGACAGAAAUAUGCUUUUAUGUGCGUGAUGCUAAACCCCCCCCCCCCCCCUCUUCAUAAGUUUGACAACCACUAAUUAUCCAUCAGUUUUCCCUUUCUCAUUAUUUAAAGUUUUUAAAGUUUUUUUUUAAACAUUUAAACCCGUGUUAAAAGACACGUCUCCUCUUGCUGAAUGAUGCGAGUGCGAAUCCCGGUCGUUGCUCUUCUUUCGUUGGGACGUCUUCAUCUCGGGGGUCUUCUGGUCCGCGGCGGCGGCCUAUCGGCUCUGGGGGGGAUCAGCCCAUUUUCUCCGGUCUGGAGGAAUGUGUGAGAGCGGGUUCAGGGAGGAAGAACCGGAACCAAUGUCUGUGCCCUCCGCAUGUAUUUGUAUUGUUCCUUUGGCUCUGAGGGGGGGGGGGGGGGGCAAAUGUCUUACCAUCAGACACUGAUUAUUAUGUGAUUAAGGGACCCGGGGGGGCGAUGACUGCAGGAGGAACAUUAAAUUAAAAAGCAUUAUGGAGCAGAACUAAACACCAAAACACUGGGAAGUCCUGGUCCUCCCCCAGCGGGGCCGGGAGACGAGUGUGUGUGUGUGUGUGUGUGUGUGUGUGUGUGGGUGUCUCUGUCUGGAUCCGGUGAAAUACCGCGUGAGGCGUUCAGGCGCCAGCGUUGCCUUCAAGGUGUUGUUGCUUCAGGCAUCGCUGUGAAUUAAAGAAGAGAAAAGUUUUUGUUUUGUGCGUUUGUUUAUUCCCAAACUGCCACAACCUUCCCGUCUGCGUGGGUUUGAUUCUCUGUCCCGAGAGCUGGAGGAGGGGGGGGGGGAGAUAGAUGUGGAAUGAUACCCAAAACAUUCCCUCCCCCGUGUGGUCCUCCUCGUCCUGCUGAAAUCUUUCCCCCAUUCCGUCACCAUGAGCACACUAUCAGGCCCAAGGCCAGAGUUACAUAACCCGGGGGGGGUUUGUCUCCCCAUGUAACCCUCUCCCACGUGGAGAGAUGCUUUUUACCUUCUGGGUCAUAAUUAAAGGACUUUUAAUCCAAAAAAUGGCUCCAAAUUUCUCUUAAAAUCACCUUUGGUACCAAAAACAAAGGAAGCUCGUCAGCAGCACUAAAGUAAGAACAUUCAGAGCAUUGAGCCAUUUUGCAAAAAGACAUGUGACAUUUCUCGUCAUAAAUGAGGUGCAAAUACAAAAGAAACUUGAUUCCAACAACAUCAGUUUUUGAUAUUUGUCUGUUUUUUGUUGGAUGCAUCCACCUCGGACCAUCUGGGACCAUCUGGGUGCAUCUGGCCGUGGAGGGGCAGAACAAAUGUGGGAAGCCUGGGAACGCUGUGCAUCGCCCACAAUCCCUCCAAUGAGAACAGCUGUUGGCUCCUUACGAACAUCUCUGAUAUCAAACGCACGCCGUGUGAAUCAGCCUGCAAAGGAGAUCCCGGCACCCUCGGACGCCCUCGCCCGUCGUCCUGUCGCCUAGAGGACGUCGCCCCCUGCAGGACACCAGAGGGCACCUCUAGGACGCUGUCCUUGAUUGUCAGAAAGGCUCCUCUCGCUAUUUCACGGUGAAAGUUCAUCUUCUGGAGGUUUAAACUCUCUGUGGCGUCUUUACUUCACUUGGUUCGCUACGCUAACGGCUACAGAGCGUUUAGAGCCGUGGUAGCUGACAACACCUGUGUGUGUGUGUGUGUGUGUGAGUCUGUGUGUGUGUGUGAGUCUGUGUGUGUGUGCGUGGUGGAUCACAGUGUAAUCUCAGUUAUUUUUUGUGCAUCGGGUGUAAUCUGUGUUCCUCUACGCAAUCGGCAGGAAUCAUAAAGGAGCAGUUAAUAAUUACCCAUAAUCCUCAGAAUAGAGUUUCUGUGUCAAUGGCGCCUUUUUUCUGCAUAUUUCCUCCUUUUCUUUCUCUCUGUGGCCACGAAUGUUUUUAUCCUCC
ensembl:lncRNA